GGACGAACGGCUGGCGGCGUGCUUAACACAUGCAAGUUGAACGGUAUGACAUGGAAGCUUGCUGAAGUGUCAUAUAGUAGCGGACGGGUGAGUAAUGCAUGAGAAGCUGCCAUUGGGAGGGGGACAACAGUUGGAAACGGCUGCUAAUACCCCGUAUGCCGGAAGGUGAAAGGGAGCGAUCCGCCCGAUGAGGUGCUCAUGUCCUAUCAGCUGGUUGGUGGGGUAACGGCCUACCAAGGCGACGACGGGUAGCCGGCCUGAGAGGGUGAACGGCCACACUGGAACUGAGAUACGGUCCAGACUCCUACGGGAGGCAGCAGUGGGGAAUAUUUGGGCAAUGGGGGCAACCCUGACCCAGCGACGCCGCGUGGGGGAAGACGGCCUUCGGGUUGUAAACCUCUUUUGUACGGGAAGAAGGAAGUGACGGUACUGUACGAAUAAGUCCCGGCUAACUACGUGCCAGCCGCCGC
rnacentral:rRNA from 1 species